CGCGUAGGCGGAUGACACAGUCAGAUGUGAAAUUCCCGGGCUUAACCUGGGGGCUGCAUUUGAUACGUGUGAUCUGGAGUGAGGAAGAGGGUCGUGGAAUUCCCAGUGUAGAGGUGAAAUUCGUAGAUAUUGGGAAGAACACCGGUGGCGAAGGCGGCGACCUGGUCCUUUACUGACGCUGAGGCGCGAAAGCGUGGGAGCAAACA
rnacentral:rRNA from 1 species